rnacentral:rRNA from 1 species
GACAUAGGUGGCAAACGUUAUCCGGAAUUAUUGGGCGUAAAGAGUGCGUAGGUGGUUUAAUAAGUUACUGGUGGGAAAUCGGGGCUCAACCCCGUGGAAGUCAGUAAUACUAUUAAACUAGAGGACCGGAGAGGUUAACGGAAUUCUAUGUGUAGCGGUAAAAUGCGUAAAUAUAUAGAGGAACACCAAGUGGCGAAGGCAGUUAGCUAUUCGGCUCCUGACGUUGAGGCACGAAAGCGUGGGGAGCAAGACGG